rnacentral:rRNA from 1 species
UACGUAGGGUGCAAGCGUUGUCCGGAAUUAUUGGGCGUAAAGAGCUCGUAGGCGGUUUGUCGCGUCUGCUGUGAAAACCCGAGGCUUAACCUCGGGCCUGCAGUGGGUACGGGCAGACUAGAGUGCGGUAGGGGAGAUUGGAAUUCCUGGUGUAGCGGUGGAAUGCGCAGAUAUCAGGAGGAACACCGAUGGCGAAGGCAGAUCUCUGGGCCGUAACUGACACUGAGGAGCGAAAGCAUGGGGAGCGAACAGG